CGGUGUCGGCAUUAUUGGGCGUAAGGGCUCGCAGGCGGUUUCUUAAGUCUGAUGUGAAAGCCCCCGGCUCAACCGGGGAGGGUCAUUGGAAACUGGGAAACUUGAGUGCAGAAGAGGAGAGAGGAAUUCCACGUGUAGCGGUGAAAUGCGUAGAGAUGUGGAGGAACACCAGUGGCGAAGGCGACUCUCUGGUCUGUAACUGACGCUGAGGAGCGAAAGCGUGGGGAGCGAACAGGAUUAGAUACCCUGGUAGUCCACGCCGUAAACGAUGAGUGCUAAGUGUUAGGGGGUUUCCGCCCCUUAGUGCUGCAGCUAACGCAUUAAGCACUCCGCCUGGGGAGUACGGUCGCAAGACUGAAACUCAAAGGAAUUGACGGGGGCCCGCACAAGCGGUGGAGCAUGUGGUUUAAUUCGAAGCAACGCGAAGAACCUUACCAGGUCUUGACAUCCUCUGACAACCCUAGAGAUAGGGCUUUCCCUUCGGGGACAGAGUGACAGGUGGUGCAUGGUUGUCGUCAGCUCGUGUCGUGAGAUGUUGGGUUAAGUCCCGCAACGAGCGCAACCCUUGAUCUUAGUUGCCAGCAUUCAGUUGGGCACUCUAAGGUGACUGCCGGUGACAAACCGGAGGAAGGUGGGGAUGACGUCAAAUCAUCAUGCCCCUUAUGACCUGGGCUACACACGUGCUACAAUGGACAGAACAAAGGGCUGCAAGACCGCAAGGUUUAGCCAAUCCCAUAAAUCUGUUCUCAGUUCGAUCGCAGUCUGCAACUCGACUGCGUGAAGCUGGAAUCGUAUAAUCGCGGAUCACAUGCCGCGGGGGAAUACGGUCCCCGGCCUUUACACACCGGCGUCAGACGAACGAGAGGUGUUCAGCACCCGA
rnacentral:rRNA from 2 species